rnacentral:rRNA from 1 species
AACGAACGCUGGCGGCAUGCCUAACACAUGCAAGUCGAACGAGACCUUCCUGUCUAUUUGCGCUCCGGUGCUUACCGCCUGGUAACCUACCCUUAGGUUCGCUAUACCUCCCUUAAAGGUGUGUUAAUACCGCUUAAUCUCUUCGCACCAAAGAUUUAUCGCCUUUGGAUGGGCCCUCGUUAGAUUCGCUAGUUGGUAGGGUAAAAGCCUAUCAUGGCGUGGAUCCAGAGCUGGUCUGAGAGGAUGAUAAGCCACACUGGGAAUGAGACACGGCCCAGAAUCGUACGGGAGGGAGCAGAGGGGAAUAUAGGACGAGGGGCGAAAGACUGGUAAAGCAAUGCCGGGUGAGAGAGGAAGGGCUUAGGGUUGUAAAGCUCUUUUACACGGGAUGAGAAUGACAGUAACGGGAGAAUAAGCUCCGGCUAACUACGUG